GAGUUACUACUCAUCCAUCUCUUCCUUCUGCUUCCAGAUUCUUUCAUCACGCAGGGAUAGAUCAUUUUGGGGAUGAUCUAUGUUGAAAGAGGAUCCUGUGAGUUGUUGACUCAUGUCUUGGAUUUAAAAGAAGAAAAUGUGAAGGAAUGAUAUAGUUCUGAUUGAGGUUCGAUUGAGGAUGUUGGGGAUCUUUUGAGGAUUCGGAUUCGGGAC